rnacentral:rRNA from 1 species
AACCCGGACCUGCACGAAGCCGGAAUCGCUAGUAAUCGCAGAUCAGCAUGCUGCGGUGAAUACGUUCCCGGGUCUUGUACACACCGCCCGUCACACCAUGGGAGUCGGAAAUGCCCGAAGUCAGUGGCCCAACCGCAAGGAGGGAGCUGCCGAAGGCAGGUCCGGUGACUGGGGUGAAGUCGUAACAAGGUAAC